rnacentral:rRNA from 1 species
GAUGAACGCUAGCGGCGUGCUUUAUGCAUGCAAGUUGAACGGUCUUGAUUUAUUAAGAUAGUAGCAAACGGGUGGGUAACACGUAAGUAACCUGCCCCUAAGCGGGGGACAACUUCGGGAAACCGGGGCUAAUACCGCAUGUGAUAGUGAGGGUAAUGCUUCAUUAUUAAAGCCUUCGGGCACUUGGGGAGGGGCUUGCGGCCGAUUAGCUAGUUGGUGGGGUAAUGGCCUACCAAGGCUUUGAUCGGUAGCUGGUCUGAGAGGACGAUCAGCCACACUGGGACUGAGACACGGCCCAGACUCCUACGGGAGGCAGCAGCAAGGAAUUUUGGGCAAUGGGCGAAAGCCUGACCCAGCAACGCCGCGUGAGGGAUGAAGGCCUUAGGGUCGUAAACCUCUUUUCUCAGGGAAGAAAUAUAUGACGGUACCUGGGGAAUAAGUCUCGGCUAACUACGUG